rnacentral:rRNA from 1 species
CCUACGGGAGGCAGCAGUGGGGAAUAUUGCACAAUGGGCGCAAGCCUGAUGCAGCGACGCCGCGUGAGGGAUGGAGGCCUUCGGGUUGUAAACCUCUUUCGCCAGUGAAGCAGGCCUGCCUCGUUUGUGGGUGGGUUGACGGUAGCUGGAUAAGAAGCGCCGGCUAACUACGUGCCAGCAGCCGCGGUAAUACGUAGGGCGCGAGCGUUGUCCGGAAUUAUUGGGCGUAAAGAGCUCGUAGGCGGCUGGUCGCGUCUGUCGUGAAAUCCUCUGGCUUAACUGGGGGCUUGCGGUGGGUACGGGCCGGCUUGAGUGCGGUAGGGGAGACUGGAACUCCUGGUGUAGCGGUGGAAUGCGCAGAUAUCAGGAAGAACACCGGUGGCGAAGGCGGGUCUCUGGGCCGUUACUGACGCUGAGGAGCGAAAGCGUGGGGAGCGAACAGGAUUAGAUACCCCUGUAGUC